rnacentral:rRNA from 1 species
UGGGGAAUAUUGGACAAUGGGGGGAACCCUGAUCCAGCCAUGCCGCGUGUGUGAAGAAGGCCUUAUGGUUGUAAAGCACUUUAAGCGAGGAGGAGGGUCCUGGUAUUAAUACUACCAGGUACUGGACGUUACUCGCAGAAUAAGCACCGGCUAACUCUGUGCCAGCAGCCGCGGUAAUACAGAGGGUGCGAGCGUUAAUCGGAUUUACUGGGCGUAAAGCGUGCGUAGGCGGCUAAUUGAGUCGGAUGUGAAAUCCCCGAGCUUAACUUGGGAAUUGCAUUCGAUACUGGUUAGCUAGAGUGUGGGAGAGGAUGGUAGAAUUCCAGGUGUAGCGGUGAAAUGCGUAGAGAUCUGGAGGAAUACCGAUGGCGAAGGCAGCCAUCUGGCCUAACACUGACGCUGAGGUACGAAAGCAUGGGGAGCAAACAGG